rnacentral:rRNA from 1 species
UACGUAGGGUGCAAGCGUUAAUCGGAAUUACUGGGCGUAAAGCGUGCGCAGGCGGUUCGCUAAGACAGAUGUGAAAUCCCCCGGGCUUAACCUGGGAACUGCAUUUGUGACUGGCGGGCUAGAGUAUGGCAGAGGGGGGUAGGAAUUCCACGUGUAGCAGUGAAAUGCGUAGAGAUGUGGAGGAAUACCGAUGGCGAAGGCAGCCCCCCUGGGCCAAUACUGACGCUCAUGCACGAAAGCGUGGGGGGAGCAAACAGG